rnacentral:lncRNA from 1 species
GCCGCGGCCAGGGACGGCAGCAGAUGAUGGUUGAGGAGUGGCCUAGGAAGGCCUCCCUGACGGCGCCCACACACGCCCCGCGGCACCGCGAACACGGCUGACAGGGCAGUUGGGCAGCGAGGUAGUCGGGAAAGAGCAGGGGGAGCCCAGCGGCUCCGUUGCGCCCUCUGUCGGCCGCCAGCCUCCAUUGCACGCGGCGCCGCCCACCUGCGCACUGGGACCCCGGCCCUGGGCCGACCAGGAACCCCUUGCGCCCGCGCCAGCUCGAGCCCUGUUGCACCUGUCGUGGUCACCGCAAGCCUCUCUGGGAGAAGGCAGGUGGGAAUGGGAGCCUUUUUUGUAAUGGGAAUAGAAGCAUUCUCGGAAGUCUCCUCCCCAAGGGCACUUAGGAGCCAGCAUUACCCAGUGCCUGCAAUUCCACCGUUAGACAUUCCCUUCUUUGGAGGGGUGGAGAGGCGAUGUCUUCAACUCUUAUUGGUUAUUACGCGGGAAUGUAAGCUCCACAAGAAUGGAGAGCUUUAUCAGUUUUGUUUACGGCCCAGCACCUAGAAUACAGCCUGGCACAUAGUCAGUGCUCAAUAAAUUUGUGAAAUGACUGAAUGAUUGUGCCAGGCACUAAGCCAAGUACCAGGACAGGCCAUGAAUAAUAAGCCUGGGCUCUUGCCCUUGAAGAACAGACUGGCGGACAGGCAAGUAAUUACAAACCAGAGCGAUGAGUGCUAUGUCUAAAUACAGAUGUAUAUAAAGUACACAUGAAGGCUCAAGGGAGAAAAUAAUUCACUCUGCCUGGAAGUAAGAGGAAAGAAUGAGUAUGAUGUCAUCGGGUAGGGAAGAAAGGGAAAAGGCAUUCCAAGCAGAGAGAACAGUCAGAGCAAAGGCUCAUAGAGAUGUGAACGUAUUUGACAUGUUCAGAGGGUGGUAAGUCGACUUGCCUGGCUGGAGCACUGGAUGUGGGGCAGGUAUGGCAGGAGAUAAUUUGGAAAGAGAAGCUGCAGUCACAUGAUGAAGGGGCAUGUUAGAACUAUGACAACUGGCUCUCUAAAUUUCAGAUCUAUGCCAGGCCAGCGGGGACAUUGCAGGGCAAAGAACCUACUUCUAACCCCGGCAAAGGCACCGCAGGAGCAACCCUGUCCUCCUGCCUAGGGAAGGCCUGGGAAUGUUGCGUGGCCUCCCCAAGUGGGCAGGCUGGGGUCAGAGCACCUGUGGCAGCAGCCUGGUGGUUCUGCUUGCCUUCCUGUUGCUGAUUUAAACAGGGCCCUCAAUAAGGACCCUACCCAGCUCCAUAGGGCCUGAAAGAGUCCCCAGUCACAUGUCCACAGCCUUGAUCACAAAGAAUCUGUUUCAAAAUGUCCUUAUUUUGCAAUCUGACUCAAAAGGAUGGGGAGUGGAAAAAUUACAGACAGCAGCCACCAAGGGACCUUGGCUUAAUAUAACUGGUGACCUGGGAAACGACAGAGGCAGAAAAUAAUUUCCCUUUCGGACUGAGGGAUGGAGAGGGCCUCUCAUAGCUGACUCAAAAUAAAGACUUUCCUUCAAGCAGAGAGAGAGUAUUUGUAUUUGUAUAUAGGAUUCUUUCUUUUUCUUUUUCUUUUUCUUUUUUUUUUUUUAACAGAGUCUUGCUCUGUCACCCAGGCUGGAGUGCAGUGGUGUGAUCUUGGCUCGCUGCAGCCUCUGCCUCUCCAGUUCAAGCAAUUAUCAUGCCUCAGCCUUCAGAGUAGCUGGGACUACAGGCUCAGGACAACAUGCCUGGCUAAUUGUAUUUUUACUUGGAGACAGGGUUUCACCAUGUUGGCCAGGCUGGUCUCGAACUCCUGGCCUCAAGUGAUCCACCCACCUCAGCCUCCCAAAGUGCUGGGAUUACAGGCUUGCACCACUGUGUCCGCCCUAUAUAUAAGAUUCUUUUCUCUGCCUCCCACUUUUGUUAUUUUGCUCUUUCCCUCCCCUCCACUCUUCCCGCAGCCUAUCUCUGCCUCUCAAUCCUUCUUUUCGGUUUUCUUUUAUUUUCUCCUUUCCCACUUCUCCUUCCACCUGCCAAGUUCCACUCGUCUCCUCCUUCCCUUUCCCUCUCUGUUCCUUCAACUUAAGCACAAGACCCAUAUUUAAAACUGUUAAAGGAUAUUUUUUAAAAGGUAAAAUUAUAAUUCUUAUGCAAAUAUAAAAUAAGGCCGGGCACAGUGGCUCACACCUGAAUCCCAGCACUUUGGGAGGCAGGGGCAGGAGGAUUGCUUGAGCCCAGGAGUUCAAGACCAGCCUAGGAAACCUGACAAAACCCUGUCUCCACAAAAAAUACAAAAAUUAUCCAGG